UACGGGGGGAGCAAGCGUUGUUCGGAUUUACUGGGCGUAAAGGGCGCGUAGGCGGUCAGCACAAGUCAGUUGUGAAAUCUCCGGGCUUAACUCGGAAAGGUCAACUGAUACUGUGCGACUAGAGUGCAGAAGGGGCAACUGGAAUUCUCGGUGUAGCGGUGAAAUGCGCAGAUAUCAGGAGGAACACCGGUGGCGAAGGCGGGUCUCUGGCAACAACUGACGCUGAGGAGCGAAAGCGUGGGGAGCGAACAGG
rnacentral:rRNA from 1 species